UACGGAGGGUGCAAGCGUUAUCCGGAUUCACUGGGUUUAAAGGGUGCGUAGGUGGGUUGGUAAGUCAGUGGUGAAAUCCCCGAGCUUAACUUGGGAACUGCCAUUGAUACUAUCAGUCUUGAAUACCGUGGAGGUCAGCGGAAUAUGUCAUGUAGCGGUGAAAUGCUUAGAUAUGACAUAGAACACCAAUUGCGAAAGGCAGCUGGCUACUCGGAUAUUGACACUGAGGCACGAAAGCGUGGGGAUCAAACAGG
rnacentral:rRNA from 1 species